CUCAGUAACACGUGGAUAACCUACCCUUAGGACGGGGAUAAAUCCGGGAAACUGGGUAUAAUACCCGAUAGAUCUCGACUGCUGGAAUGCAUCGAGCUUGAAAGCUCCGGCGCCUAAGGAUGGAUCUGCGGCCUAUCAGGUAGUAGUGGGUGUAGCGUACCUACUAGCCUACGACGGGUACGGGUUGUGAGAGCAAGAGCCCGGAGAUGGAUUCUGAGACACGAAUCCCAGGCCCUACGGGGUGCAGCAGGCGCGAAAACUUUACAAUGCUGGCAACAGCGAUAAGGGGACCUCGAGUGCCAGGUUACAAAUCUGGCUGUCGUGAUGCCUAAAAAGCAUUGCAUAGCAAGGGCCGGGCAAGACCGGUGCCAGCCGCCGCGGUAACACCGGCGGCUCGAGUGGUAACCGUUAUUAUUGGGUCUAAAGGGUCUGUAGCCGGCCGGAUAAGUCUCUUGGGAAAUCUGGCAGCUUAACUGUCAGGCUUUCAGGAGAUACUGUCUGGCUCGAGGCCGGGAGAGGUGAGAGGUACUUCAGGGGUAGGGGUGAAAUCUUGUAAUCCUUGAAGGACCACCAGUGGCGAAGGCGUCUCACCAGAACGGACCUGACGGCAAGGGACGAAAGCUAGGGGCACGAACCGGAUUAGAUACCCGGGUAGUCCUAGCCGUAAACGAUACUCGCUAGGUGUCGGCCACGGUGCGACCGUUGUCGGUGCCGUAGGGAAGCCGUGAAGCGAGCCACCUGGGAAGUACGGCCGCAAGGCUGAAACUUAAAGGAAUUGGCGGGGGAGCACCACAACGGGUGGAGCUUGCGGUUUAAUUGGAUUCAACGCCGGAAAUCUUACCGGGACCGACAGCAAUAUGAAGGCCAGGCUGAAGACUUUGCCGGAUUAGCUGAGAGGUGGUGCAUGGCCGUCGUCAGUUCGUACUGUGAAGCAUCCUGUUAAGUCAGGCAACGAGCGAGACC
rnacentral:rRNA from 1 species